UUAGCACUACUUUCAAACCACAUGCAAGUAGGCAGAGAACUGUUGAGUUAGGCUUUUGCAGUUACUUUUAAUGAGGGUUGUUAUGGGAUAAUUGAAAACAUAUGCUGUCCAUGCAGCAGCAAAGUGACUGCAGGAGCAGAGGGAGAUGUCCUCUGGCUGCCGAUUAGGACCAGUGCUCCCAGAACUGAGCAACAGUACAAUUCAGAGGGCUCUUGAUUUCUCUCCCUCUUAAUUGUUCUGGAAGGUCUGCAGUGCACUUCUUUGGACAUUAUUAUAUGCUUUUCAAUAUGUUUGUCUGUACCUAAUUAAUAAUUGUCCUACAGUACAUUGCCCUCUUCCACCAGCUACAGCUCAAAUUCAUUGAUAUCAUCUCCAUAAAAGUUUGAAACCCCCCAGUGACAGGAAUAUUAAUGUGCCAACACUGUCAUAUCUAUUUCAGCUCAUACAUAUGCAAUGUCUUUGUUUUCAAAGAUUUAUGUCAGACUUUGCUGAAGUGAGGUAUUCUACCAUUUUAGAUAAUAGCAUGCCAAAGUGAUGUUAUCAGGCACAUUCAGCACUCACUCAAGCAAGCGGGAAGGAGCAUCCAUUCCUUCAUAGCCUGAACACUGAGAAACUGUUAUUUAUCCUUAUUUGAUGAAGAAAUCUUUCAGGGGGAAAUGGUGUAUUUUUAGAAGAAGAUUAUGGUCAUCCUGUGGAUUAUCUUUUAAUUAAGAAUGGAUGAUUUGUGCCCACUCUGCUGUAGCAAACGUCUUGCUGCUAAUGAAGUUUAAACAGACUUACUUUAUUUAAUUACAGCUAAUCACUAGGGUAAAAUGUGGAAUUGUCUUUGAUCCACAUGUAGAGUGGUAAUCCUUGUGGCAGAUAGCAUCUCUUAUUCCCUCAAACUCUUUUCAGCUUCUCCAGGAGGUCCCAGCUUAACUAAGGGUUAAUUGAGAUAGCUGGACUAGUGUGAUUGAUGUAUUUUUGCUCAGGGAUGCCAUCCCGCUUUUCCAAGGACUCUCCUUCUCCCUCCUCCUCCCCCUCUCCCUGUGCAGUCACCUUCAGGCCGUGUAAUGCAGUAGACGCCUGCUUGUUUGACAUGAGGGACCUGAGAGGGCCAAGGUCCUGCUGGAUCCGUGAGUGCAAGAACAGAAACUGCUGGAGGGAGAGCAGAGGUUAGAGGAGGGCAGCAGAGACCAGUGUAAAGCAGAAGAGGGCACUAGUAAACUGACCUAUUGCAGCCACGGCUCACGUCUGAGCUGGUUACAGAACAAAACGAUUGAUUGAGUAUUGAAGGCAGUAGCAGUGUUUGACGAGGCUAUAGCUCCAGAGGUGUUUCAUUUCAUUUCUUUCAUUUCAAUUCAUUUCAUUUUCUUCUAUCUUAACAUUUCAGUUCAAAUUUUAUUUCAUUUACUAAAGAAUAGAUCUUCACGUGCAGGAGUGCCAGUAAGGCGUUUCUGACUUCCAGAUUUUUAAAAGGUGGUGAAUAAAAGCUGUGGAAGCAAAAUGAUGGUUAAGAAAAGUGGAAAUUUACACUUGCUAUAAGGAAUUUGCAUUCCCAGUAUUCUGCCUUGCACUUGCAGCCCUUGCCUAACAAGUUUACUUGCUUCCCCUGGCUCAGAAGUUUCUGAAACUGGUGAAAACUGUGGGAAGAGCCACACAGAGGAUAAACGCUCAAUUAUUUCAACAUCAUAGAUGAAGAAAAAGCUGUUCCAAAAGUUUUUGAGGAGGAGCAGUACCUUCAUUCCUGUUUGCAUGGCAACAACAGCUGCAUUCAGAUGAAAAGGCCAGCUUGUUAAACAUCAUGUAAUACUGAAUGUACUGAAUAUUUUAAAGGUCAGGUAUUGACAGGCACUGAGCUGCUUAUGUUUCCCUAAUGACCCCAAUUACAUCCAAGCUGAUUCUUCCUUGACUCUCAGUUGGAACUGGAUGUAUGGGAGUACUGUGGAGUACUGAUGAAGAAGCGGUAAGAUUCCAUGGAAACAAAUAGGAGGCAUUACUUUUGGAGCAGCCUAUUUCUGCAGUGAACUUGGGAGUUUUACUCAGAGCUACUCAGUAUCCCUGCUGUGAAUAUUUUUCAAGAGACUGAGAUCUCCUCCACGGUGAGAGCACAGUGCUCAUCUGUCUUUCACUGCCCCCUCCCAUGCUUCCACAGGGAGGUGAGAUCAGUGAGAACAAACAUUUGAAGAACUGCCCUGAAUUUUUCUUGCUUGUUUCCAGCCUGAAGGUAAAUUAUUCUGGAAACUUCUUCUGGAAAGAAGAAAGAUUCUGCUUGGUGGAUUGUGAAUUAGCCAUUCACGUAAUAAAAUGUUUUCCAUAUUUUAAGAUGUUU